UACGUAGGGGGCAAGCGUUGUCCGGAUUUAUUGGGCGUAAAGAGCGUGUAGGCGGCUAUACAGGUCCGCUGUGAAAACUCGAGGCUCAACCUCGAGACGUCGGUGGAAACCGUAUGGCUAGAGUCCGGAAGAGGAGAGUGGAAUUCCUGGUGUAGCGGUGAAAUGCGCAGAUAUCAGGAAGAACACCCGUGGCUAAGGCGGCUCACUGGCCCGGUACUGACGCUGAGGUGCGAAAGCGUGGGGAGCAAACAGG
rnacentral:rRNA from 1 species